AUUCCCUCACUGGAACUACAUAGUAAAAGUCAAAGUGAUAUUUACCCAUUAUUAAUGGAGCAACCAGGAAAUCAAAUUGAUACUGAGCACAUCAUUGACAUAACAAGGAGUGGUGAUGCUUCCUCAUCUAAUUCAUCCAAUGAUGGACCUUCAACUAGCUUGGACCAGUUGCAGCAUGACGAUAGACCCGCAAGUAGUGCGAGGGUCCCUAUUUCUCAACCUUCAUUUUCUUCCUCCAAUGUAUCAAACUCCAGAAAUUCCUUCAGAAGAAGAGCAGAUGCCCGCCGUCGUAGGAGUCCAUUGAAUUCUGGGUUAUGGAUUUCUAUCGAACUAGCUCUGACUGUGAGUCAGAUUAUUGCAUCUGUUGUU
rnacentral:lncRNA from 1 species